rnacentral:rRNA from 1 species
AGAGUUUGAUCCUGGCUCAGGAUGAACGUGGGCGGCGUGCCUAAUACAUGCAAGUCGAACGAAGACUGUAGUAAUACUGUCUUAGUGGCGAACGGGUGAGUAACGCGUGGGUGACCUGCCCCGAAGUGUGGGAUAACAGUCCGAAAGGAUUGCUAAUACUGCAUAAUAUCCAAGAGAUUAGAUGCUUUUGGAUUAAAGGAGUAAUUCGCUUCGGGAGGGGCCCGCGUCCCAUCAGCUAGUUGGUAAGGUAAUGGCUUACCAAGGCGAUGACGGGUAGGGGACCUGAGAGGGUGGCCCCCCACAAUGGAACUGAAACACGGUCCAUACACCUACGGGUGGCAGCAGUAGGGAAUAUUAGUAAUGGGCGAAAGCCUGAACUAGCAACGCCGCGUGUGCGAAGAAGGCCUUCGGGUUGUAAAGCACUUUUUGAGAGGAUGAGGAAGGACGGUACUCUCAGAAUAAGUCUCGGCUAACUACGUGCCAGCAGCCGCGGUAACACGUAGGAGGCAAACGUUAUCCGGAUUUACUGGGCGUAAAGCGCGUGUAGGUGGUUUGGUAAGUAGGGCGUGAAAGCUCCUGGCUCAACUGGGAGAGGACGUUCUAAACUGCCAAGCUUGAGGAUGGUAGAGGGAGGUGGAAUUCCGGGUGUAGCGGUGGAAUGCGCAGAUAUCCGGAGGAACACCAGUGGCGAAGGCGGCCUCCUGGACCACUCCUGACACUCAGACGCGAAAGCUAGGGUAGCAAACGGGAUUAGAGACCCCGGUAGUCCUAGCCCUAAACGAUGUAGACUUGGCGUCGGUGGUUUAAUCGCCAUCGGUGUCGUAGCUAACGCGUUAAGUCUACCGCCUGGGGACUACGGCCGCAAGGUUAAAACUCAAAGGAAUUGACGG